rnacentral:rRNA from 1 species
UACGUAGGGUGCAAGCGUUAUCCGGAAUUAUUGGGCGUAAAGAGCUCGUAGGCGGUUUGUCGCGUCUGCUGUGAAAACUGGAGGCUCAACCUCCAGCCUGCAGUGGGUACGGGCAAACUAGAGUGCGGUAGGGGAGAUUGGAAUUCCUGGUGUAGCGGUGGAAUGCGCAGAUAUCAGGAGGAACACCGGUGGCGAAGGCGGUUCUCUGGGCCUUACCUGACGCUGAGGAGCGAAAGCGUGGGGAGCAAACCGG